ensembl:lncRNA
CCCCUCAGUCUGGGUAGCAGGGAUGAAAUGAACCCCGCCACACGCCAUUUGCCCGUGGAUUUGUUUGGUGGACCCUCAAGCCACUUCACCCGCCACUGUGUCUGUGUGAUUCUUUCCAUCAAGGUCAGAUCAAAUUUGCAUAUUUAAUACUGUAAUGACCUCGCCGGUGACAUAACGAUGUCCAGUCAUAAGUAUUUGAAGGAACUUUAAUGCACUACUAGUAAAGUUACAACUUAAGUUAUGGUGGUGCAACCAAAAUUUAGAACACCUUUAGUUUGACACUAGCUAUGUCGAGCAUAGGGUUAAGGCGGACUUUACACCCGAACUUAUGAUCGGCUUUACGUUCUGCUGGUGCAACCGACUGCAGGUCACUGAAACCCGUAACCAACGGCAACAAUCCACACGAACAACAACCGGUUACCCGUGAAACCCCCAACCCGGUCCCUUCAACGUGCAAGCCCCCACCAUCCUGUUCUCCCAAGCCCCUCCCCCAGCUGACCUGAUGAUUCGCCCCCCACACUGAUUGACAAGAAGAACAUUCCAAUGCAUGCACAUGGAACAACUGGCAUAUUAAGGCCAGUUCAGACCAAAGAUUCACGGACUAAAGAAAAACGAAAUUAACGGACAACGAAAUACAAUGCAACACAUAACACACAAACUCUUUAAAUGUCCCAGGGUCGCUGCAAUACAUUCGUCAUUCGGCGCAGCCAGGUUCCUCAACCAUUACUGUGAACAUCCGGCAUCAUGGUGAACAUCGGACAGUGGGCAACACCGUGACUGGCUGGUGUUUGACGGGACGAGCCAGACAAUGUUCUGUGCUCUCUGUCGUAAACAUGCCUCGGAUGGCCACAGGUCCAAUAGCUUUGUGAGGGGGACACAAAACCUCAAGGUGUGUGCCUCUGAUACCUCAGAAUCAGAUUCUGAUGAGUGACUCCCAACGGGUUCUUUUAACCCCUCCCUUUGUAUGUAUGUGUGUGUGUGUGUGUGUGUGUGUGUGUGUGUGUGUGUGUGUGUGUGUGUGUGUGUGUGUGUGUGUGUGUGUGUGUGUGUGUGUGUGUGUGUGUGUGUGUGUGUGUGUGUGUGUAUAUAUGUAUAUACAUGUAUAGAUAGAUGGAUAUUCUUUAAUGUAUAUUUUAUAAUGUAUUCUGACGUUUUUCAAUGUGUCUUGUACUUAUUAAGUCAUUGUUUCUUGUUCUUGUUUCUUCAUGGUCUGUUUUCGAAUGUUUCAUUUUGAAUGCAUAGGCAGAGUAAGAGUCUUCCUAUACAGAGAAGAUUCAUCUGUUGCAUUAUAGGGGCAGACUUCAUUCCUCAUCUGGUUGAAUUGAAGAAAUUAAAAGGCAAGUGCACUGAAAAAACAAAUGUUCCAAUUGACUUAUGAUGGAGUAGCCAUGCAUGUUGUUUUAUUGUUAAUGUGUCAAUUCGUUUUUAUUGAAAAUACCUUGAUUAGAUAAAUUAUCCCCAAAAUUGUCAUCGUAACACCUUUGAAAUAAACAUGACUUCUUAACAUGGCAGAUACCUGUGUAUUGUUUAUCAUAUGCGGUAAGCGUGUAACAUUUUCAACUCAGUUCCUUGGUAGCUCCUACUUACAGUAGAAGCACUUCUGAUGGAAAAAAAUAUGUGUAUGAAAAGCACUUUUCUUAUCUAUUGUUACUAUUAUAUUGUUUAAAAUUUACGCAUAUAUUAAAAUAUAUAGCGCAUAAAAAGUGGCUGGUAAAAAAGAUGAGUGGCUGGUUUCCAUCUCUGUUGUGUAGGGGCCAAAAUGCAUAUUUGGUCUGUUUAUUUA